rnacentral:rRNA from 1 species
UACGGGAGGCAGCAGUGGGGAAUAUUGGACAAUGGGCGCAAGCCUGAUCCAGCAAUGCCGCGUGUGUGAAGAAGGUCUUCGGAUUGUAAAGCACUUUCGACGGGGACGAUGAUGACGGUACCCGUAGAAGAAGCCCCGGCUAACUUCGUGCCAGCAGCCGCGGUAAUACGAAGGGGGCUAGCGUUGCUCGGAAUGACUGGGCGUAAAGGGCGCGUAGGCGGUUUGGACAGUCAGAUGUGAAAUUCCUGGGCUUAACCUGGGGGCUGCAUUUGAUACGUAUAGACUAGAGUGUGAGAGAGGGUUGUGGAAUUCCCAGUGUAGAGGUGAAAUUCGUAGAUAUUGGGAAGAACACCGGUGGCGAAGGCGGCAACCUGGCUCAUAACUGACGCUGAGGCGAA